GCAAGUCGAGCGAGAAAGUGGCUUCGGCCAUCAGUAAAGCGGCGGACGGGUGAGUAACACGUAGGUAAUCUUCCUUCGAGCGGGGGACAACGAGCCGAAAGGCUCGCUAAUACCGCAUACGUUUCUCGGGACUUCGGUCCUGGGAAGGAAAGCUAGGUAGCAAUAUCCGGCACUCGAUGAGGAGCCUGCGUCGCAUCAGCUAGUUGGUGGGGUAAUGGCCCACCAAGGCGAAGGCGCGUAGCUGGUCUGAGAGGAUGAUCAGCCACACUGGGACUGAGACACGGCCCAGACUCCUACGGGAGGCAGCAGUGGGGAAUAUUGGACAAUGGGCGCAAGCCUGAUCCAGCCACGCCGCGUGAGUGAUGAAGGCCUUCGGGUCGUAAAGCCCUGUGGGGAGGGACGAACCGCUGCGGAUUAAUACCCUCCAGCAUGACGGUGCCUCCUUAGCAAGCACCGGCUAACUUCGUGCCAGCAGCCGCGGUAAUACGAAGGGUGCAAACGUUCCUCGGAAUUAUUGGGCGUAAAGCGCACGUAGGUGGCUCUGCAAGUCCGAUGUGAAAGCCCACGGCUCAACCGUGGAAGUGCAUCGGAAACUGCAGAGCUUGAGUACAAAAGAGGAUCGCGGAAUUCCCGGUGUAGAGGUGAAAUUCGUAGAUAUCGGGAGGAACACCAGUG
rnacentral:rRNA from 1 species